rnacentral:rRNA from 1 species
AACGUAGGAGACGAGCGUUAUCCGGAUUUACUGGGCGUAAAGCGUGUGCAGGCGGUUCGGCAAGUUGGAUGUGAAAUCUCCCGGCUCAACUGGGAGAGGUCGUUCAAUACUACCAAACUUGAGGUCAUCAGAGGAAAGCGGAAUUCCGGGUGUAGUGGUGAAAUGCGUAGAUAUCCGGAGGAACGCCAGUGGCGAAGGCGGCUUUCUGGGAUGAUCCUGACGCUCAGACACGAAAGCUAGGGGAGCGAACGGG